CGCCCGCGAGGGGUCGGGGCGCCGGGCUUGGGAUGCGCGCCCCGCGAGGUCCCGUCGGACACAGGCCCCCUGGUGAGACAGCCAGGACCGGGACCACGCUGGACGGAACAAAGGCCACGAGCCAAAGACAGGGCUGAGAAGAAAUCAGGACCCAGGGAGAGGAUGUGAUGAGUCCAGGGCCACACUGAGAGAUAUCAGACAGCCUGUGAUUUCACCAUAUGGGAACUCCUUUUCUUGCAUAUGUAGAUAAUUCCUGACAAUUGUGUUUAGUUAUUUCCUGUGUGACUCACUUUGAACAAAUCUGGUGGAAGUUAUGGUGUAUGACUUUUGAGACUAGGUCAUAAAAAGUAUUGUGGCUUCCUUCUUGCUGUCUCUCUUGGAUCACUAACCCUGGAAGAGGCCAAUUGCCAUGUUGGAAGGACACCAAAGCCACCUUAUGGAGAAAUUCACAUGCAAAGGAAUUGAGGCCUCUGGCCAACAACGGGUGAGGUGGCCUCUUGCUACCAACCAUGUGAGUGCGCAAUCUUGGAAGCAGAUGUUCCAUGGCUCGCUCACGCCUUCCGAUGACUGCAGCCCCAGCAGAUAGCCCCAGCUGAUAUCUUGACUGAAGCUUCACGGGAGACCCCGGGCCAGAACCACCUAGCCAAGUCACUCCAGAAUUCCUGGCCCUGAGACAAUAUAAGAUGUUUGUCAUUUUAAGCUUACAACCUUUGGGGUAAUUGUUACACAGCAAUUGAUAACUAAUAAUACUAUUAAAUGUCU